CUUUAAUCUCAAUACUAAAUUUACAAGGUAACAACAGAAAUCCAUCCAUAUCUUGAAAAUUCCAAUUCAUGAUCGCAAAAUCCCAAAAAUCGGUGUAGGAAAGCUGCAAAACUAAUAUAAUCUUCCUUUCUCCUACUCGAUCUUCUCUCAUGCCACCCUUGAACAAUUAAGCCGUACCUGACCUGCUGAACCUGUUAAGACAUGAAGAUCUGAGAGCUUCAUCAUUGCCUGGGCAAAGUCUCGGAGGAACAAGCUGACAUCUGAAGCAUAUGCUUUGACCCAAAUCCCAGUUUCUUCCCCGGACAUUAGUUGCUGGUCAGAAUAGAGGAUUCCUCUACCUUGCAGAAGACUCUGGUAGAAAACUGAGCCAAAAUCUAUUCCAGGUCCCUCAUAGGCCAUAUUGAUUCCUGGAUCCUCCAGUAGAGAACCUUCAUAUGAAACUGAUGAUGUUGUAGAAGACGAUGGUGAGAAAGACACUGAGCCUUGUAAGGAAAGUGAUGGUGCUGCUGCUGAUGACAUUGCCCCAUUCUUUCCUGGGUCCCCAGAGGAUGAUCCAGUAAGAAGGUGGUGCUGCUUCUGGGUGCUGAUGAUAAUGGCCCCGAGGCAUCAAAGGAAGGUGAUGCUGAUGGAGUCACUGAUAUAUCACUGUUGUUGCAUCUUGAUCUCAUUUGGUCAAGGAAUUGAAGAUCAAGAGAGGGAUCAGGAUUAUUAGUCCCAACAAAGUUGUGGAGACCGUUUUUGAAGAAUUUCCAGUGAAUUAUUCCAACGCUGUGAGCACCUAGAAGAAAGGUAAGCGCACAAUUAGAAACGUAAAAGUUACGAUUCCAGGUUGCUGCAGAGUGCAUAUUUUUACAAAACUGAGGCUGAUCAAACGCACAAAUCUGUGGUUUCACACAGAUAGACGGAAGGUACAAAGGAAUGAGCAGAUAGCCAUUCUACAGAACAAAAUUGUAACCAGUUUUAGCAGAUUUGCUCUCACUUCAAGGGGAUUCAUUUCCAAAAGAAUAUUCUAAUCAACAGGUACCAGUUUUUGUUUAAAUCAAGCAAACUCACCCCCAAGUAUGGUUUAAUGGGUA
rnacentral:misc_RNA from 1 species